UUUUGGACAAUGGGCGAAAGCCUGAUCCAGCCAUGCCGCGUGCGGGAAGAAGGCCUUCGGGUUGUAAACCGCUUUUGUCAGGGAAGAAAUGUUCCGGGCUAAUACCCUGGGAAGAUGACGGUACCUGAAGAAUAAGCACCGGCUAACUACGUGCCAGCAGCCGCGGUGACACGUAGGCACCAAGCGUUGUCCGGAUUUAUUGGGCGUAAAGUGCUCGUAGGCGGUUCGGUAAGUCGGGUGUGAAAACUUUGGGCUUAACCCAAAGCGUGCAUCCGAUACUGCUGUGACUAGAGUUCGGUAGGGGAGUGGGGAAUUCCUAGUGUAGCGGUGAAAUGCGCAGAUAUUAGGAGGAACACCGGUGGCGAAGGCGCCACUCUGGGCCGAAACUGACGCUGAGGAGCGAAAGCGUGGGUAGCAAAC
rnacentral:rRNA from 1 species